rnacentral:rRNA from 1 species
GACGAACGCUGGCGGCGUGCCUAAUACAUGCAAGUCGAACGCAGUGGGGACGGGUGAGUAACACGUUGGUAACCUCCCCAUCAGAGGGGAUAACACUUGGAAACAGGUGCUAAACCGAUACUGAUGGAUGGACCCGCGGUGCAUGAGCUAGUUGGUGAGGUAACGGCUCACCAAGUCCAUGAUGCAUAGCCGACCUGAGAGGGUGAUAGGCAACACGGUGACUGAGAAACGGACCAGACUGAUACGGGAGGCAGCAGUAGGGAAUAUGCGGCAAUGGACGAAAGUCUGACCGAGCAACGCCGCGUGAGUGAAGAAGGUUUUCGGAUCGGAAAACUCUGUUGUUAGAGAAGCGGUAUCUAACCAGAAAGCCACGGCUAACUACGUGCCAGCAGCCGCGGUAAUAC